GCCAUCCGUGGUUCUGUGCACACCGGGCUUACUACGUGCUUGGGAACUUUCUAGGUUGAAAACGACAUAUCUGCUUUCACCUACGAGAGGACACUAAUGAUGGAGCAGAGGUCGCAGAUGCUGAAGCAGAUGCAGCUGUCCAAGAACGAGCAGGAGCGAGAGGCCCAGCUGAUCCACGACAGGAACGCCGCGUCCCACCCGGCAGCGGCAGGCAGGACCCAAGCGCCGCCUACGCCAGACAAGGUGCAGAUGACCUGGACCAGGGAGAAGCUGAUUGCUGAGAAGUACAGGAACAGAGACACCAGCCUAUCCGGUUUCAAAGACCUCUUCAGCAUGAAGCCGGACCAGUCCAACGUCAGGCGGAUGCACACGGCUGUGAAGCUCAAUGGCGUCGUCCUCAACAAGUCCCAGGACGCGCAGCUGGUCCUGCUCAACAUGCCAGGUCCUCCCAAAAACCGGCAGGGAGACGAGAACUGUAUCCUUUCCUGCAGUGUGCCUGCUGAGCGUGCGGGCAC
rnacentral:lncRNA from 1 species